rnacentral:lncRNA from 1 species
ACCUGCCAUGCUAGCACAGUAAGAAAGCAGAGAGAUGGACCGCUCAGAUUUAUCCAAUGACCAUAGGAUUCAGAUCACAUGUCACCCAUAUCGAAACGAACGGUUGAGAUUUAUCUAAUGACAUCACACUGUUCAUCCUCUGCCGUUAUCAUGGAAUGGCAGAGGAUCCACCUCGGUGGCCGUGAGGGGCUGCUGCUGUUGCUUAUCUUGUCACCGAGGUGUGCUGGUGUUCGGGUUCUGAAAAAUUGGGCAUUUGAAAAUAUUGUUGUUAAAUCAUCUCUGUGGGUUGUUUAGAAAGCAUUGUUUUUUUGGUGUAGGAUUGUGCUGCAAAAAUG